UGGGGGAUUUUGCACAAUGGGCGCAAGCCUGAUGCAGCGACGCCGCGUGAGGGAUGAAGGCCUUCGGGUUGUAAACCUCUUUCGCUGGGUUGAAAGGCCAUGCUUUGGGUGUGGUUGAUUUGAACUGGUAAAGAAGUACCGGCUAACUACGUGCCAGCAGCCGCGGUAAUACGUAGGGGGCUAGCGUUGUCCGGAAUCACUGGGCGUAAAGGGUUCGCAGGCGGAAAUGCAAGUCAGGUGUAAAAGGCAGUAGCUUAACUACUGUAAGCAUUUGAAACUGCAUAUCUUGAGAAGAGUAGAGGUAAGUGGAAUUUUUAGUGUAGCGGUGAAAUGCGUAGAUAUUAAAAAGAAUACCGGUGGCGAAGGCGACUUACUGGGCUCAUUCUGACGCUGAGGAACGAAAGCGUGGGUAGCAAACAGG
rnacentral:rRNA from 1 species